rnacentral:rRNA from 1 species
AAUGAACGUUGGCGGCGUGGAUUAGGCAUGCAAGUCGAGCGCUCAUAGCAAUAUGGGAGCGGCGAACGGCGUAGUAAGACGUAGGAACGUACCCUCGGGUCGGGGAUAGCUAUGGGAAACUGUAGGUAAUACCCGAUAAUCUCUGCGGAGCAAAGGUGUGAUUCCGCCUGAGGAGCGGCUUACGCGAUAUUAGCUAGUUGGUGGGGUAAUGGCCUACCAAGGCGAUGAUGUCUAGGGGGUGUGAGAGCAUGGCCCCCACGACCGGAACUGAGAUACUGUCCGGACACCUACGGGUGGCUGCAGUCGAGAAUCUUCCGCAAUGGACGAAAGUCUGACGGAGCGACGCCGCGUGCGGGAUGAAGGCCCUUGGGUUGUAAACCGCUGUCAGAGGGGAUGAAAUCUUCGGAGGUGCUCCUCCGAAGUUGACAGAGCCUCAAAGGAAGCACGGGCUAAGUACGUG